rnacentral:rRNA from 1 species
CAGGAUUCCCUUAGUAGCGGCGAGCGAAGAGGGAGAAGCCCAGCGCUUAAUCCCGCGUUCCAACCGGGGCGCAGGGAAAUGUAGCGUUUGGGAGGGUCCGCAUGCCGGUGGUCGCGCGGUGAGUCAAAGUCCUUCUUGAACGGGGCCACACACCCAAAGAGGGUGCCAGGCCCGUAAAGACUGCCCGCAGAUUGCCGGGUGGACCUCUCCUCAGAGUCGGGUUGCUUGAGAGUGCAGCCCUAAGUGGGUGGUAAACUCCAUCUAAGGCUAAAUACAACCACGAGGCCGAUAGCGAACAAGUACCGUGAGGGAAAGUUGAAAAGAACUUUGAAGAGAGAGUUCAAUAGUACGUGAAACCGUCCAGGGGUAAACCUGAGAAGCCCGAAAGUUCGAGCGGGGAGAUUCAACCGCGUCUCGGCUCGGUAGCCCGAGGCGGUCUGGCGACGGGGGCGCGUUCGCGCGCCACCGCGCAUUCCGCCCGCAGUGCGGCCGCCGAACGCGUGCACUUCUCCCCGUGUAGGACGUCGCGACCCGUCGGGUGCCGGUCUAAGGCCCGCGGUGGUGACCGGACGGACGGCCUGGCCGUUCCGUCCGGACCCGCGGCCGCCGGACCGGCUCUCUCGACGGUAUGUUAACGUAUGGCGCGGGGCCGCGAUUCAGUUCGCGCUCGGCCCGCGGCGAGCUCGGGCGGUAAGUGCGGCGGUCGGACCUGGCGCCGACCCCGCCGCCGUACGGCUGCGGUCGCGGUGUUCUCGAGCAGACCCCUUCACACGCCGGUCGGCGACGCUAUAGCUUUGGGUACUUUCAGGACCCGUCUUGAAACACGGACCAAGGAGUCUAGCAUGUGCGCGAGUCAUCGGGACCCGUAGUAGGCCUAAAGGCGUAAUGAAAGUGAAGGCCGGCCCUAGCGCCGGUCGAGGGAGGAUGCGGACGGCCUCGGCCGCCCGCCGCACUCCCGGGGCGUCUCGCCCUCAUCGCGAGGAGAGGCGCACCCAGAGCGUACACGCUGGGACCCGAAAGAUGGUGAACUAUGCCUGGUCAGGACGAAGUCAGGGGAAACCCUGAUGGAGGUCCGUAGCGAUUCUGACGUGCAAAUCGAUCGUCGGAACUGGGUAUAGGGGCGAAAGACUAAUCGAACCAUCUAGUAGCUGGUUCCCUCCGAAGUUUCCCUCAGGAUAGCUGGCGCUCGCUUUUGCGAGUCUCAUCCGGUAAAGCGAAUGAUUAGAGGCAUUGGGGUCGAAACGGCCUCAACCUAUUCUCAAACUUUAAAUGGGUGAGAUCUCCGGCUUGCUUGAACCAAUCAAUGAAGCCGCGAGAUUUCGGAUCAGAGUGCCAAGUGGGCCAUUUUUG